UCAGAUUGAACGCUGGCGGCAGGCCUAACACAUGCAAGUCGAGCGGUAGAGAGAAGCUUGCUUCUCUUGAGAGCGGCGGACGGGUGAGUAAUGCCUAGGAAUCUGCCUAGUGGUGGGGGAUAACGUUCGGAAACGGACGCUAAUACCGCAUACGUCCUACGGGAGAAAGCGGGGGACCUUCGGGCCUCGCGCCAUUAGAUGAGCCUAGGUCGGAUUAGCUAGUUGGUGAGGUAAAGGCUCACCAAGGCGACGAUCCGUAACUGGUCUGAGAGGAUGAUCAGUCACACUGGAACUGAGACACGGUCCAGACUCCUACGGGAGGCAGCAGUGGGGAAUAUUGGACAAUGGGCGAAAGCCUGAUCCAGCCAUGCCGCGUGUGUGAAGAAGGUCUUCGGAUUGUAAAGCACUUUAAGUUGGGAGGAAGGGUAGUAACUUAAUACGUUGCUACUUUGACGUUACCGACAGAAUAAGCACCGGCUAACUUCGUGCCAGCAGCCGCGGUAAUACGAAGGGUGCAAGCGUUAAUCGGAAUUACUGGGCGUAAAGCGCGCGUAGGUGGUUCAGUAAGUUGGAUGUGAAAUCCCCGGGCUCAACCUGGGAACUGCAUCCAAAACUGCUGAGCUAGAGUACGGUAGAGGGUAGUGGAAUUUCCUGUGUAGCGGUGAAAUGCGUAGAUAUAGGAAGGAACACCAGUGGCGAAGGCGACUACCUGGACUGAUACUGACACUGAGGUGCGAAAGCGUGGGGAGCAAACAGGGAUUAGA
rnacentral:rRNA from 1 species